GAGUUUGAUCAUGGCUCAGAUUGAACGCUGGCGGCAUGCCUUACACAUGCAAGUCGAACGGUAACAGGUCUUCGGACGCUGACGAGUGGCGAACGGGUGAGUAAUACAUCGGAACGUGCCCAGUCGUGGGGGAUAACUACUCGAAAGAGUAGCUAAUACCGCAUACGAUCUGAGGAUGAAAGCGGGGGACCUUCGGGCCUCGCGCGAUUGGAGCGGCCGAUGGCAGAUUAGGUAGUUGGUGGGAUAGAAGCUUACCAAGCCGACGAUCUGUAGCUGGUCUGAGAGGACGACCAGCCACACUGGGACUGAGACACGGCCCAGACUCCUACGGGAGGCAGCAGUGGGGAAUUUUGGACAAUGGGCGAAAGCCUGAUCCAGCAAUGCCGCGUGCAGGAUGAAGGCCUUCGG
rnacentral:rRNA from 1 species